rnacentral:rRNA from 1 species
UGCCAGCAGCCGCGGUAAUUCCAGCUCCAAUAGCGUAUAUUAAAGUUGCUGCGGUUAAAACGCUCGUAGUUGAAUUGUGGUCUUAGACAACAGUCCCCCUACAAAGGUGUGGCACGGUUGCUCGAGAUCUUCAUUCGUGGUUGCUGUUGUUGCUCUUCAUUGAGUGUCAAUGGUGCCUCGAGAUUUUACUUUGAAAAAAUUAGAGUGCUCAAAGCAGGUUGUGAUGCCUGAAUAAUGGUGCAUGGAAUAAUAGAAUACGAUCUCGGUUCUAUUUUGCUGGUUUUCGAACCGGGGAUAAUGAUUGAAAGGAACAGACGGGGGCAUUCGUAUUGCUGCGUUAGAGGUGAAAUUCUUGGAUCGCAGCAAGAUGAACAAUUGCGAAAGCAUUUGCCAAGAAUGUUUUCAUUAAUCAAGAACGAAAGUUAGAGGUUCGAAGGCGAUCAGAUACCGCCCUAGUUCUAACGGUAAACUAUGCCAACCAGCGAUUCGCCGAAGUUCAUUUAAGACUCGGCGAGCAGCUUCCGGGAAACCAAAGUGUUUCGGUUCCGGGGGAAGUAUGGUUGCAAAGCUGAAACUUAAAGGAAUUGACGGAAGGGCACCACCAGGAGUGGAGCCUGCGGCUUAAUUUGACUCAACACGGGAAAACUCACCCGGCCCGGACACUGGAAGGAUUGACAGAUUGACAGCUCUUUCUUGAUUCAGUGGGUAGUGGUGCAUGGCCGUUCUUAGUUGGUGGAGCGAUUUGUCUGGUUAAUUCCGAUAACGAACGAGACUCUACCCUAUUAAAUAGUGACAGUAUUGUAUUUUUUGUGCUGAUCACUUCUUAGAGGGACUAACAGGUCUGUGAUGCCCUUCGAUGUCCGGGGCUGCACGCGCGCUACAAUGAAAGCGUCAACGUGAGUUGCGUCCUUACCUGAAAAGGUUUGGCAAUCGAAUGAAACGUUUUCUUGAAUGGAAUAGGGAAUUGCAAUUGUUUCCCUUGAACGAGGAAUUCCCAGUAAGCGUGAGUCAUUAGCUCGCGUUGAUUACGUCCCUGCCCUUUGUACACACCGCCCGUCGCUACUACCGAUUGGAUGAUUUAGUGAGGUGUUUUGACUGGCGCCAGUAGUCGGAUAUGUAUUCGGCUUCGCGCCGGGAAAUUUCCCAAACCAAAUCAUCUA